rnacentral:rRNA from 1 species
AUCAGCAGCCAUAUCACCCUGCAACUCACAACUGGCAGCCCCAAUGAAGCUAAGCAGGUGUGAGCCUGGCCAGUAGCUGGAUGGGAGACCUCCUGGGAAAAACUUAGGUUGCUGCUGGAA